AAUAGGUAUCUUCUGCAUAAACGAAAUCUCUUUGGUGUCCUCAGUCAUUUUGAAGAGUAUGAUGGAGAUCUGGUGCCAAAAAUUUCAAAAGUCACCGUUGUAGGGUCUUGCAUCCCAUUGUAACUGUAACUGACAUUCUAAAGAAACCAUUUCUUUAGCCCAGGGAUCAUUUGGAUUUGAGGGUGUGGAGCAGAAGCAUUCUAACUUAAACCACAGAGCUCAUCUUCCUGUGUUUACCUCAGCUGGAUCAGGAGGGGAAGGGGAAAAGUCAGCAAUGAUCCUGCCAUCUCUGACCAGAAGUCCGCCACAGAGUGCUCGAUGUUGCUGGCCCAGGGAAGCAGCAAGAACCCACCAUAAGGCUGGGACAGACGUGGGUCUCUGUGUCUGGGAGGGGACUGCCACAUGGGAGGGGACAUUUUUGUUCUCAAGAGUCUGAGGUCAUUGGAAGUUUCUCAAGGCUGGACUUGGACUCAGAGAUAAGAGAGGGCCUUGUGAGCCAGAGUGGGGGCUCAUGGUGCAGUAUGGACCAGAGGAGGGAAGGAUUCAGUGUGGCCCCAAAGCUGAUCCAAAGCUGAGCCAUAGGUCAGCAGGUCCUGGGCCCGGGGAGGGUGAGGUGCUGAGUCUACAGAUACAGGUUAGGGGUCUGGGCUGCCAGGAGGAGCGCAGGGCCUGACCUCAGUUCCCGUCAACCGGCGGAGCAUUUGGUGGACACCACAAAUGGAAGAAAGAAGAGUCAGAAGAACAAGGGAGCUGCCUUUAGUCAUUAGCUAUUGAGGACCUUGGUAUGUCAGACCCCAGGGCAAGAAAUUGAGGAAGAGUGGAAAUUCUCAACCUGGGGCCUCACCAUUGGGACUUUGUUUCAGUAAAGUUCUCCAGAUGAUGCUACUGGGAGGCCAAUGUUGAGAACCAAUGACAUACAUGUUAUCACUUAAUCCUUAUAACCUGGUUUGGGAGGUGUUAUUAUUACUCCCAUUCUACAGAUAAAAAGAGAGAACUCAGAGGGUUUAGGCAAUUUGUUAAAGGCAGCAUGGCUAGUAGCUGACUAGUCUAAGAUUGCAGCAAAGCCUGGUCUGAUGCCAAAGUUGAUGGUGUUUUUACUCUGUCAGAUUUACACCAAGUUGAUAAAUACUUCUGGUCAUAACAGAACUGAAAGCAGAACCCUCGGUCAAGAAAUUCCAAUAUUGGCAAGACCUCCACCUUGAGUUGUGACUUGUUCCAAAUAAAAAGAACCUCAAUAUGAAAAUGCAUCUUAGAAAAGUAACAUACAUUAUAUGCUACCUUACCAUGAGUUCAACCACACUGUACGGCCGGUCAUAAUCAUAACCCCCUUUUAGAGAAAAGAGAACAGAAGUUUAGACGAGCUCAGUGAACUUGCCCAAGGUCAUAAGUGGAAAAAAUCAGAAGCUAAGCCCAGGACCCUUAAUUGUGAUCACCAAGCCAGAGCUUUGGGAAAUGCACUAAAAUACAGAUAGAUACCACAGUCUGUGUCCCAACUCUACUCGCAAUUCUGAUGUGUAACUCUGGUGUGGGACUCGGGGCUCAGCAUUGUUAACACGUACUCCAGUGGGUUCUCAGGCCUCGGGGAGGAACACUACAUCCAGCCAGCCUGCAGAGCCCCGAGCUGUGGAGGUGAGGAGGCUGGAGGCUUGUUCCUUGCAACAUUCACAGGCGGUAGAAACAGCACUAAAAGAAGAAGGCGGCACUAAAACAAACCCCUUGAACCCAAAGACCUCUCCUGUUUGCUUGUCACAGGGCUGAUGGAGCUCCAUCGUCAACAAGUCACUCUCUUCAGAGCAAAGUUCUAUGCUCCCUCCUCUCCCUACUUCCCCUCCAUUUAUACCCAUUUGCCUGACACUGGCAUUGAUAUCCUCAAUGAGGGUAUCAUACCCUCAUUGUGCCAGACACUGAGGAAAAGGAACUGAUUUUCACUAGGGUGUGAGUGACUUCAUGGAGCCUCAGGACUCCUUCCCCAGGGCGCUGGCAGGAGCAGGGGGAUCCUAGAACCUUAUCCAAAGUCCUUAGAGGAUAGUCAUAGGCAUCGGAGUGAAGUUCCUGCAGGGCUAAGGUGACCUGGGAAGACCUGCUGUCUGCCCAUCGUCCUCCCUGCUUGUCCUCCCCUCCCAGCUUCACAGACGCUCCUCGCCCCAGAGCUCUGUGUCCUGCACUCUAUGGACCCGCUUCUUCUCAAUCACCCUGUCCUCAGACAGACUUUGCAUCUCAGUCACUCCUCUGAUAACAGCUUAAAGAGAGUGCCAGUCAGCUUGAUGAAAGCCCAGAAGGCAAGGGAAGCCUGAAUUUCAAGAAGGGGGAAAAGUGAGAUCGAGGAAAGAUUGUUUAAAAUACAGGGACUCAGUGUGUUUAUAAACUGUGAAAGUGUCAGGAAAAAGGACAAAAUGAAAUAUAGGCAGAGAAAAGAGAGCAAAAGCUACCUUCCGGGGCUCAGAUGGAAGAAUCAGCUUUUAAA